rnacentral:rRNA from 1 species
AACGGCCGCGGUAUCCUAACCGUGCGAAGGUAGCGUAAUCACUUGUUCUUUAAAUGAGGACUAGUAUGAAUGGCACCACGAGGGUUAAACUGUCUCCUUUUUCUAAUCAGUGAAACUAAUCUCCCCGUGAAGAAGCGGGGAUUCUUCUAUAAGACGAGAAGACCCUAUGGAGCUUAAAACAUGUUAACACUUGCUACCCCUUAAUCUCCUCCCCGCACUGACACACAAAAUAUAGCACGACUGAUUAAUAGUUUUCGAUUGGGGUGAUCACGGAGCAAAAAAUAACCUCCACGACGAAAAGGAACUCUCCUUGAGCCAAAAGUCACAACUUUAAGCACUAAAAAAUUAACGCACCUUGACCCAAUUUUUUGAGCAACGAACCAAGUUACCCUAGGGAUAACAGCGCAAUCCACUUCAAGAGCUCCUAUCGACAAGUGGGUUUACGACCUCGAUGUUGGAUCAGGGUAUCCCAGUGGUGCAGCCGCUACUAAAGGUUCGUUUGUUCAACGAUUAAAACCCUACGUGAUCUGAGUUCAGACCGGAGAAAUCCAGGUCAGUUUCUAUCUAUAAAGGGCUUUUUCUAGUACGAAAGGACCGAAAAAGCAUGGCCAAUGAAAGAUCAAGCCAUACAUACUACUUAUGUUUUCAACUCAAUUAGAGCUAAGCCUACAACCAACCUCAAGAAAAGAGAAGUUAACGUAGCAUAACCUGGCCUUGCAA